rfam:Ricinus communis cultivar Hale ctg_1100012351612, whole genome shotgun sequence.
CUGUCCUCUGGAGUUCCCCUGGCCGCUUCAUUGGGGCUAUUAUAUACCCUUAAUUAUACAUGUGUUAUUCCUGCCCUACUGAAGUGUUUGGGGGAACUCUAGGUGCCAU